ensembl:lncRNA
GUGAGACGACUGCCUUGAUGUUGUCGGAAAAGUGAAGCCGAAAUGCCCAGUGAAAAGAGGAGGAUUCAGGAGAGAGAGAGACAACUAAAGGAGGCAGCAAAGAGGAGCACAUCACUACAGGGUUGGCUACGAAAAAGCCAAACAGCAGAUGAGGAGCAGCCACAAGCCUCCAGACACUCAGAAAAUGUGGACCAGGAGGAGGCACAUAGGGCAGAUGAUGAGCCCAGUGCAUCAGCUGCGUUCAGAGAGCCAGAGCCAGAGCCAAUCCCAGAUGAGAUCAGGACAGACUGGGAAAGGAGAGAUGAGCAAGAGGAUGAGAUGAGGGAGAGGAGAACAUCAGCAAGGGAGGAUAUUGAGAUGAAGAGUGGGGCAGAAUCCACAGAUUUCGAUUUUUUGCUGAGGUUGGCUAAUCCCACAGAUCCAGCUCAUGUACAGAGCAGCAAUCUAAAAUACGAUCAGACCUUCAUCACAUUUUCCAAUUCAGUCGGACCUUGCCGUCCUAUGGUAAAUUUCCCCUCAAAAUCCAGAUUGGCGCUCUUUUCAAGCCCAAUGGUAUAAUGAUGACCCCUGGCUGGAAUAUUCUCCACUGAAU